rnacentral:rRNA from 1 species
UACAGAGGGGGCCAGCGUUAUUCGGAAUUAUUGGGCGUAAAGGGCGCGUAGGCGGCUUUGCGUGUCUUUCGUGAAAUCCCUCGGCUCAACUGAGGACGUGCGGAAGAAACUGCAGGGCUGGAGUCCGGGAGAGGAGGGUGGAAUUCCCAGUGUAGCGGUGAAAUGCGUAGAUAUCUGGAGGAACAUCGGUGGCGAAGGCGGCAUCCUGGACCGAUAUUGACGCUGAGGCGCGAAAGCCAGGGGAGCAAACGGGG